rnacentral:rRNA from 1 species
AUUGAACGCUGGCGGCAGGCCUAACACAUGCAAGUCGAACGAGUGGCGGACGGGUGAGUAAUGUCUGGGAAACUGCCUGAUGGAGGGGGAUAACUCAUGGAAACGGGAGCUAAUACCGCAUACCAGUAGAGGUGCCGAGGGGGGAUUAGGUAGCUGGUGGGGUAACGGCGCACCAAGGCGACGAUGCAUAGCUGGUCGGAGAGGCUGACCGGCCACACUGGAACUGAGACACGGUCCAGACUCCUACGGGAGGCAGCAGUGGGGAAUAUUGGGCAAUGGGCGAAAGCCUGAUGGAGCCAUGCCGCGUGUGUGAAGAAGGUUUUCGGGUUGUAAAGUACUGUUGUCAGAGAAGCGGUACCCAACCAGAAAGCCCCGGCUAACUACGUGCCAGCAGCCGCGGUAAUUC